GAUGAACGCUGGCGGCGUGCAUAACACAUGCAAGUCGAACGAUGAAACUUAAAUGAUUUCUUCGGAACGAACUUAAGUGGAUUAGUGGCGGACGGGUGAGUAACGCGUGAGUAACCUGCCUUACACAAGGGGAUAGCCGUUGGAAACGACGAAUAAUACUCUAUGAAACUAUCACUUCGCAUGAAGCGAUAGUCAAAGUGUUAGCGGUGUAAGAUGGACUUGCGUCUGAUUAGCUAGUUGGUGAGAAAAACGCCCACCAAGGCAACGAGCAGUAGCCGGCUUGAGAGAGUGUACGGCACGAUUGAGAGAGGGACACGGCCCAGACUCCUAGGAGAGGGAGCAAUGGUGAAUUUUGCACAAUGGGCGAGAUCCUGAUGCAGCGCGUCCGCGAGAUUUAGAAAGCGUUCGUGUAGUAAAUAUCUUUUGUAUAGGAAGAAAAUGACGGUACUAUACGAAUAAGCACCGGCUAAUUACGUG
rnacentral:rRNA from 1 species